rnacentral:lncRNA from 1 species
UGCACUAUUGGACUACGCCAAGCUGAUUCACUCCGGUGGAGCUUCGCACGGGAACUAUUGCUGCUUACCUGGUGC